rnacentral:lncRNA from 1 species
GCCGGAACCCUAGAAACCGGCCAGUCAGGUUUCGCCACGUGGCAAGUUUUGUUUUAUUUUAUUUUAUUUUUUUAUUCGGCCGAAGUGGAUAAUACACUUUUGCAGAAAAGACCCUAUAACUUCAAACCUUUAUAUCUUUUAAACCGUUUGUCCAAAAUUUACGAUCCACACCUUUCUGGAAUCGUCGUAACGUGUAGAAUAUUUUGGCACUGUUUAUUUUCAGUUUUGAAUAACUUAGACAGUAGCUAUUUACAAAAUGGUGGUUUAUGGUUUAAAUUUCAAAUGAAUUGUUUCAAAAUAGUUUUGAGCAUGUUAGCUUGCUAUAAAAUUAUUUAAACUCGUUCUCUAUCCAUUAGGACCAGAAAAGAAAUUAUUUUGUGUAUAAUCAUGGGAUGCAAGUUAAAUAUUGCUCUAUGUUACAAAAGCCGCACAAUCUUUUGUUUUAAACCUAUCCAUGUUUCUUGCAUAUUAAUUACCACUUUGAUGUUGUAUAAUCUGUCCAAACAAUUUGAAAAACUUUUCAAAACAGAAACGAAGCUUCUUACCUUAGAGGUAACCUUUGUGUGCAUCAGCAUAGCAUGUGCAUCAUGGCAUGGUUUUUGUAUUGAAUGUUGUGUUUAUUGUGUGUGUUCCUUUUAUUUUAGAUUGUGUGGAGUGUAAGCAUUGUUGUUGCGAAGAGUGCGAGAACUACCACAACCUUGGACAAGGCAAGUUCACUUUGAUCAUUCUCCUAAAUAUUUUUACUAUGCACUAGAUGUUUUAUUAGAUGCAUCAGGAAUAUUAUUCGUACUUCUAUGCUAGCUAUAAAUCCCAGGUAGUAUAGUUUACCCUCGCCAUUACCUUGCUACCAAAAUUGCCUUCGAUUGUAGUUGAAUGCUUGGCUAUGGUAGUAUCGUGGGGGAAAUAACUACAUUAUUUAUUGUUAUGCCUUUGGCGAUAUGAAAUGAUUUUAUUAGAUGUAAGGCAAAACAAUUAAUUAAAUGAACCGUCCUGGGUGGGCAGCUUUGAAGAUUUUGAGGAUUAGCGGCGUCAGGUCCAUUUCUAUGGGUCCCUCUAAGUCGAGUUCUUGUGGAUUC